rnacentral:rRNA from 1 species
AACGUAGGAGACAAACGUUAUCCGGAGUUACUGGGCGUAAAGAGCGCGCAGGCGGCUGGUCAAGUCCGAUGUGAAAUCUCCCGGCUCAACUGGGAAACUGCAUCGGAAACUGAUCGGCUUGAAGGUGGGAGAGGGUAGUGGAAUUCCCGGUGUAGUGGUGAAAUGCGUAGAUAUCGGGAGGAACACCAGUGGCGAAGGCGACUACCUGGCCCAUUCUUGACGCUGAGGCGCGAAAGCUAGGGGAGCGAACGGG